UACGGAGGGUGCGAGCGUUGUCCGGAAUCACUGGGCGUAAAGGGCGCGUAGGCGGCCUGAUAAGUAGGGGGUGAAAUCCUGCGGCUUAACCGCAGGGCUGCCUUCUAAACUGUCAGGCUUGAGCACAGUAGAGGCAGGUGGAAUUCCCGGUGUAGCGGUGGAAUGCGUAGAGAUCGGGAAGAACAUCAGUGGCGAAGGCGGCCUGCUGGGCUGUUGCUGACGCUGAGGCGCGACAGCGUGGGGAGUAAACAGG
rnacentral:rRNA from 1 species